rnacentral:rRNA from 1 species
CACGUAGGGUGCGAGCGUUGUCCGGAAUUAUUGGGCGUAAAGAGCUCGUAGGCGGCUUGUCGCGUCGACUGUGAAAACCCGUGGCUCAACCAUGUGGUCUGCAGUCGAUACGGGCAGGCUAGAAUUCGGUAGGGGAGACUGGAAUUCCUGGUGUAGCGGUGAAAUGCGUAGAUAUCGGGAGGAACACCUGUGGCGAAGGCGGCCCCCUGGUUGGAUACUGACGCUGAUACGCGAAAGCGUGGGGAGCAAACAGG